rnacentral:tRNA from 1 species
GCCCAGAUGGCGAAAUUGGUAGACGCACUAGUUUCAGGGACUAGCGGUCGCAAGGCUGUGCAGGUUCGAGUCCUGUUCUGGGCA